rnacentral:rRNA from 1 species
GACGAACGCUGGCGGUAUGCUUAACACAUGCAAGUCGAACGAGAAGUUUUUUAUUGAACCUUCGGGGGAUAUAAGAGACAGACAGUGGCGAACGGGUGAGUAACGCGUGGGCAACCUACCUAUCGGAGCGGGAUAGCCUCGAGAAAUCGGGAGUAAAACCGCAUAACACGGAUAUAUCGCAUGAUGAAUCCGUCAAAACUCCGGUGCCGAUAGAUGGGCCCGCGUCUGAUUAGCUAGUUGGUAAGGUAAGGGCUUACCAAGGCAACGAUCAGUAGCCGGUGUGAGAGGGCGAACGGCCACACUGGAACUGAGACACGGUCCAGACUCCUACGGGAGGCAGCAGUGGGGAAUAUUGCGCAAUGGGGGCAACCCUGACGCAGCAAUACCGCGUGAGUGAAGAAGGUUUUCGGAUCGUAAAGCUCUGUUAUUCGGGAAGAAGCAGGACGGUACCCAAGAGAAGCCGGCAUGCCAG